rnacentral:rRNA from 1 species
GACGAACGCUGGCGGCGUGCUUAACACAUGCAAGUCGAACGGAAAGGCCCUGCUUUUGUGGGGUGCUCGAGUGGCGAACGGGUGAGUAACACGUGAGUAACCUGCCCUUGACUUUUGGCUAUCUUCAGGGAACUGGGGCUAAUACCAGAUAGGUGCUCCUGCUGCAUGGUGGGGGUUGGAAAGUUUCGGCGGUUGGGGAUGGACUCGCGGCUUAUCAGCUUGUUGGUGGGGUAGUGGCUUACCAAGGCUUUGACGGGUAGCCGGCCUGAGAGGGGGACCGGCCACAUUGGGAUUGAGAUAGGGCCCAGACUCCUACGGGAGGCAGCAGGGGGGAAUAUUGCACAAGGGGCGGAAGCCUGAUGCAGCAACGCCGGGGGCGGGAUGACGGCCUUCGGGUGGUAAACCGCUUUCGCCGGGGACGAAGCGUGAGUGACGGUAAUGGUAAAAGAAGCACCGGCUAACUACGUG